CAGCAGCCGCGGGAAUACAGAGGGUGCGAGCGUUAAUCGGAUUUACUGGGCGUAAAGCGUGCGUAGGCGGCUUUUUAAGUCGGAUGUGAAAUCCCUGAGCUUAACUUAGGAAUUGCAUUCGAUACUGGGAAGCUAGAGUAUGGGAGAGGAUGGUAGAAUUCCAGGUGUAGCGGUGAAAUGCGUAGAGAUCUGGAGGAAUACCGAUGGCGAAGGCAGCCAUCUGGCCUAAUACUGACGCUGAGGUACGAAAGCAUGGGGAGCAAACAGGAUUAGAGACCCGUGUAGUCCCUGUCUCUUAUAC
rnacentral:rRNA from 1 species